rnacentral:rRNA from 1 species
ACGCUCGACACCUACGGAGGCAGCAGUCGGGAAUAUUGCGCAAUGGAGGAAACUCUGACGCAGUGACGCCGCGUAUAGGAAGAAGGUUUUCGGAUUGUAAACUAUUGUCGUUAGGGAAGAAAAAAGACAGUACCUAAGGAGGAAGCUCCGGCUAACUACGUGCANNCGCGNGUAUNGAGGCGGGCGUGGACGAGGC